rnacentral:rRNA from 1 species
GUUGACCUCGAAUCAGGUAGGACUACCC